rnacentral:pre_miRNA from 1 species
ACAACAUUCGGACCGUCGGUCUACCGAGCAAAUAUCACCCGCUCGGUGGAAGAUCUUCCCU